AGUUAAGCUACUAAGGGCGAUCGGUGAAUGCCUUGGCAUCAGGAGGCGAUGAAGGACGUAGUUAACUGCGAUAAGCUUCGGAUUGGUGUUAAAAACUUAACCGGAGAUUUCCGAAUGGGGCAACCCCCAUGGCGUAAUGGCCAUGGAUCCGUAACUGAAUUCAUAGGUUGCGGAGGCUAAACUUGGGGAACUGAAACAUCUUAGUACCCAGGGAAAAGAAAGAAAACUCGAUUCCCCCAGUAGCGGCGAGCGAAAAGGGACAAGCCCAAACCGGCUGACUUGUCAGCCGGGGUUGUAGGACCGUUUAGAGUUUACAGCUCGAAACGAGAGAUUGUAUAGUGGAAACGCGAUGGAACGAUCUGCCAUAGAAGGUGAAAGCCCUGUACGCGAAAUGCAUAUCUCAAGUUUUGGAACGGCACCUGAGUAGCGCGGGACACGAGAAACCCUGCGUGAAUCUGGGAGGACCAUCUCCCAAGGCUAAAUACUACCUGAUGACCGAUAGUGAACCAGUACCGUGAGGGAAAGGUGAAAAGUACCCCGAAAGGGAAGUGAAAUAGUACCUGAAACCGAUUGUCUACAAGCUGUGGAAGGCCUCUCAAUAGGCCAACUGCGUGCCUUUUGCAUAAUGAGUCCGCGAGUUACCGUCAGUGGCAAGGUUAAGCCGUUAGGUGGAGCCGUAGCGAAAGCGAGUCUUAAAUGGGCGAAAUUAGUUGCUGGUGGUAGACCCGAAACCAGGUGAUCUACCCAUGGCCAGGCUGAAGUUCCGGUAAAACGGAAUGGAGGGCCCAACCGGUUGAAGUUGAAAAUUCUUCGGAUGAGCUGUGGGUAGGAGUGAAAGGCUAAUCAAACCUGGAAAUAGCUGGUUCUCCUCGAAAUGUAUUUUGGUACAGCCUCGGAUGUUUUGUUACGGAGGUAAAGCACUGAAUGGGUUAGGGGUCUUACAAGGUUACCAACCCCAAUCAAACUCUGAAUGCCGUAACAUGAAGUCCGGGAGUGAGUCUCAGGGAGAUAAGUUCCUGGGGCAAAAGGGAAACACCCCAGACCAUCGACUAAGGCCCCCAAGUGUGUGCUAAGUGGCAAAGGAUGUGAAAACGCACAGACAACCAGGAGGUUGGCUUAGAAGCAGCCAUCCUUUAAAGAUAGCGUAACAGCUCACUGGUCCAGUGAGUUUGCGCCGAAAAAUAU
rnacentral:rRNA from 1 species